UAAUUUCUUUUUUUUUCUUUUCUUUUUUUCUUUUUUUAAUUUUGAGACAGACUAUCACUAAGUUGCCCAGGGAGACCUUGCCAUCCUCCUGUCUCAGGUCCCCAGGUAGCUAGACCUCAGGCUUGGGCGUCCUGGUUUGGCUGUGAAUCUAUCUUUAUUACACAGAUUGUCUAAUCCAGAGCCUUGCCUUUGCUAGACAGAGGUUCUACUACUCAGGUACUCAGCUACACCCACAGCCUAGUCAUUCUUUGUACAUUCCAAGCUUUUGUCAAAUGUAUUAACUUUUAUUUUAAAGUCUAUACUUUUUUUGUAGUUAAAAAAUAACUCCUAAAACUGUUUAUUCAGGCAUAUUUAUUAAAUAUAAAGGACCCAUUGAGCUCGAAUGGUAGAAGCCCAUCUCUAAUGGCUGCAUUCAAGUGCUAAUGUAACUAGAACGUGCUGACAUUAUCAUAGCUUCUGCAGAUUUCAUCUAUCAUAGACACCAGGACAUGUCUUGGUUCUAUGUGUAUUUACAGCAAUGAUUCUAAACAAAUGGUUAUAAGCACAGCAUCCCCUGCAUAGCAAGAAUUCAAACAUUUGUUGAACUGAAACAGCUCAUGAGAACGAGCCUGUCACUUGGGCAUACCAAUAAGCCUUUACUGAAGUAAGUGUUGUAUUUAUUAAGGUGUUUUAUUACUACCACCACCAGAAAGAGCACACUGACCUCUGCAGCUGAUUCCUCCUCAGUCCACCCUCGCUCAGCCUUUAACUCGGGACCAUCUAUUCCCGUAUCCUCAGUUACUCUCAGGGUAGUUUUGACAUACUCUUGCCAUUUCCUCGUCUUUUCAUACCUGAUUUAAAUGUCUUGGUUUAAUUACUGCAGUUUGGCUGUUGCCUACCCAGCUAUUCCCUUAACCAGUACUAUGGAACACCCUUGCCUGUCUUGUUAAAGAUGUCUAUGUGUCUACUCAGGGCCAGCCUCUUUGUCCAUUCCUACUGUUCAUAAUCCUGUCCACUAGCUGUAGAGGUCUAAACUCCUGACUCAAUUCCUUUGUACUCAUGCUUUCUCAGUCUUGUUGGAAGCUUGGUAAACCAUCUGCAUUCACAAGGCAACAAGAAGCAACUUUGCAGAGCUCCAGAGGAAGUCAGACUGUGGUUCAUUCUCCUCUUAGUAGUAUAUCAUCUGUAUGUUGGCGUCUCAAAUUGGGGCUCAUGUAAUUGAGUCACGAUGACUUUGGCAAGCAUAGGGUUCUGAAUGCCAAACAGCCAAAAUUUGAUUCAAAUUAAGUACAUCCUAGUGUUGCCUGGUGCAACACUGUUUCCUGCAGCCUGGAUCCGGAACACAUACACCCUCAGUUUGCACUCAGCCAGCCAGUGAGCCGUAAACACCAACACGCACUGCCUAAAACACCUCUGUUUGGGUUUAACUAUUAACAAAUGAACUGCAUCUCAUUUGUACAUACAUUUCAUUUGGGUGUACAUAUUUAUUUUUUCAAAACAGAGUAUCUGAGUAGUCCUGGCUGUCUUGGAACUUACUCUGUAGACCAGGCUGUCCUUAAUCUCAGAGACCCUCCUGCCUCUGCUUCCAAGUUCUAGGAUUAAAGACAUCCACCACCACUGCCUGGCUCUGUAUUGGUUUUAUUAAAAAUUCCAAACAAUAUGCAAGACCUACUAUACUCUGCACCAACAGGUCUGACUGACCCAAAAGGAGAUGAUGGAAACCAUGGCCUGGGAGGUACAGACAAUUACUUGAAAGGGAUGGUUAAUACAGUGAUUUCAGACAGUAAGAAGGCUUGCCAAUAUAUCUUUUUCAUGAUGUUCUUGCUAGAAAGGUGAAAUUGCAGGAGCCUGAGUCUGAACACUCUUGGAGCUUUGUGGCUAUGGUAGCAGUUCAGAAAGGCUCCUGGGGACAAGACAGGUGUUACAAGCCAAGCAAGCUUAUGGAUCUGAACCACCAGUCCAAGAAUCUGGUCAAAAUUCAGAUUUUCUUUACAAAAUAUGCUAUAUGUUUUAUUAUUCUCACACUUUUCAACUAUUAAAAGACAAAAACUAAAAAUAUAUAAAUAUUUUAAAGGAACUAUUUAUUUUUAUAUACACAUGUAAGCAACAGUU
ensembl:sense_intronic Gm43065 predicted gene 43065